rnacentral:rRNA from 1 species
GAUGAACGCUGGCGGCGUGCCUAAUACAUGCAAGUCGAGCGAACAGACGAGGAGCUUGCUCCUCUGACGUUAGCGGCGGACGGGUGAGUAACACAUGGAUAACCUACCUAUAAGACUGGGAUAACUUCGGGAAACCGGAGCUAAUACCGGAUCAUAUAUUGAACCGCAUGGUUCAAUAGUGAAAGACGGUUUUGCUGGCGGUUAUAGAUGGAUCUGCGCCUUAUUAGCUAGUUGGUAAGGUAACGGCUUACCACGGCUUCGCCGGGUAGCCGGCCUGGGAGCUUGACCGCCCACCUUGGUCCUGAGAUAGGGACCAGACUCCUACGGGAGGCAGCAGUGGGGAACAUUGCGCAAUGGGCGGAAGUCUGAUGCAGAAAUCCCGCGUGCGGGAUGACGGCCUUCGGGUUGUAAACAGCUUUCGACUGUGCCAAAGCGUGAGUGACGGUAAUGGGUCAAGAAGCACCGGCUAACUACGUG